CAAAUUUUUCCAACAACAUAGCAAGUUUGAGAAGAAGAAAGCUCAAGUUUUAAGAGCUGAAUUCUCAAAGCAGCUGCAGCUUCAAGAGGGACGUCUUCACACGUCGUUUAAGACCAAGUCAAAGAUUUUCCCGAAAAGACUUAAGCUAUCGAGGUUGAACGUGUACGAGGAGGCGAAGGUGUUGUUGGGAAAUGAUCAUUAAUAAGUAGUUAGGUAGCCCAAAGUAGUAUGUCUUCAUACAUACUAUUUUGUCUUGGACUCUUCCGCUGCAGUAGAACUUUGUUCUAGGAAUGUAUGAAUUCAGUCUUGACACUCUGACUUUAUUUUGA